UACGUAGGGUGCGAGCGUUAAUCGGAAUUACUGGGCGUAAAGCGCACGUAGGCGGCUUUGUAAGUUAGAGGUGAAAGCCUGGAGCUCAACUCCAGAAUUGCCUUUAAGACUGCAUCGCUUGAAUCCAGGAGAGGUGAGUGGAAUUCCGAGUGUAGAGGUGAAAUUCGUAGAUAUUCGGAAGAACACCAGUGGCGAAGGCGGCUCACUGGACUGGUAUUGACGCUGAGGUGCGAAAGCGUGGGGAGCAAACAGG
rnacentral:rRNA from 1 species